rnacentral:rRNA from 1 species
GGAAUUUUGCACAAUGGGCGAAAGCCUGAUGCAGCAACGCCGUGUGAGGGAUGAAGGCCUUCGGGUUGUAAACCUCUUUCACCACUGACGAAGCUUGCCCCUUUUUGGGGUGGGUGACGGUAGGUGGGGAAGAAGCGCCGGCCAACUACGUGCCAGCAGCCGCGGUAAUACGUAGGGCGCGAGCGUUGUCCGGAUUUAUUGGGCGUAAAGGGCUCGUAGGCGGCUUGUCGCGUCGAUAGUGAAAGCCCGCGGCUUAACUGUGGGUUUGCUGUCGAUACGGGCAGGCUUGAGGUAGGUAGGGGAGAGUGGAAUAUCCGGUGUAGCGGUGGAAUGCGCAGAUAUCGGAUGGAACACCGGUGGCGAAGGCGGCUCUCUGGGCCUUACCUGACGCUGAGGAGCGAAAGCGUGGGGAGCGAA